rnacentral:rRNA from 1 species
UCGGACGGGUGAGUAACGCGUGAGAAUCUAGCUUCAGGUCGGGGACAACCACUGGAAACGGUGGCUAAUACCGGAUGUGCCGAAAGGUGAAAGAUUUAUUGCCUGAAGAUGAGCUCGCGUCUGAUUAGCUAGUUGGUGUGGUAAGAGCGCACCAAGGCGACGAUCAGUAGCUGGUCUGAGAGGAUGAUCAGCCACACUGGGACUGAGACACGGCCCAGACUCCUACGGGAGGCAGCAGUGGGGAAUUUUCCGCAAUGGGCGAAAGCCUGACGGAGCAAUACCGCGUGAGGGAGGAAGGCUCUUGGGUUGUAAACCUCUUUUCUCAGGGAAUAAAAAAAUGAAGGUACCUGAGGAAUAAGCAUCGGCUAACUCCGUGCCAGCAGCCGCGGUAAUACGGAGGAUGCAAGCGUUAUCCGGAAUGAUUGGGCGUAAAGCGUCCGCAGGUGGCACUGUAAGUCUGCUGUUAAAGAGCAAGGCUCAACCUUGUAAAGGCAGUGGAAACUACAGAGCUAGAGUACGUUCGGGGCAGAGGGAAUUCCUGGUGUAGCGGUGAAAUGCGUAGAGAUCAGGAAGAACACCGGUGGCGAAAGCGCUCUGCUAGGCCGUAACUGACACUGAGGGACGAAAGCUAGGGGAACAGAAUGGGAUUAGAUACCCCAGUAGUCA